rnacentral:rRNA from 1 species
GACGAACGCUGGCGGCGUGCUUAACACAUGCAAGUCGAACGGAAAGGCCCUGCUUUUGUGGGGUGCUCGAGUGGCGAACGGGUGAGUAACACGUGAGUAACCUGCCCUUGACUUUGGGAUAACUUCAGGAAACUGGGACUAAUACCGGAUAGGAGCUCCUGCUGCAUGGUGGGGGUUGGAAAGUUUCGGCGGUUGGGGAUGGACUCGCGGCUUAUCAGCUUGUUGGUGGGGUAGUGGCUUACCAAGGCUUUGACGGGUAGCCGGCCUGAGAGGGUGACCGGCCACAUUGGGACUGAGAUACGGCCCAGACUCCUACGGGAGGCAGCAGUGGGGAAUAUUGCACAAUGGGCGGAAGCCUGAUGCAGCAACGCCGCGUGCGGGAUGACGGCCUUCGGGUUGUAAACCGCUUUCGCCUGUGACGAAGCGUGAGUGACGGUAAUGGGUAAAGAAGCACCGGCUAACUACGUGCCAGCAGCCGCGGUGAUACGUAGGGUGCGAGCGUUGUCCGGAUUUAUUGGGCGUAAAGGGCUCGUAGGUGGUUGAUCGCGUCGGAAGUGUAAUCUUGGGGCUUAACCCUGAGCGUGCUUUCGAUACGGGUUGACUUGAGGAAGGUAGGGGAGAAUGGAAUUCCUGGUGGAGCGGUGGAAUGCGCAGAUAUCAGGAGGAACACCAGUGGCGAAGGCGGUUCUCUGGGCCUUUCCUGACGCUGAGGAGCGAAGGCGUGGGGAGCGAACAGGCUUAGAUACCCUGGUAGUCCACGCUGUAAACGGUGGGUACUAGGUGUGGGGUCCAUUCCACGGGUUCCGUGCCGUAGCUAACGCUUUAAGUACCCCGCCUGGGGAGUACGGCCGCAAGGCUAAAACUCAAAGGAAUUGACGGGGCCCCGCACAAGCGGCGGAGCAUGCGGAUUAAUUCGAUGCAACGCGUAGAACCUUACCUGGGUUUGACAUGGAUCGGGAGUGCUCAGAGAUGGGUGUGCCUCUUUUGGGGUCGGUUCACAGGUGGUGCAUGGCUGUCGUCAGCUCGUGUCGUGAGAUGUUGGGUUAAGUCCCGCAACGAGCGCAACCCUUGUUCACUGUUGCCAGCACGUUAUGGUGGGGACUCAGUGGAGACCGCCGGGGUCAACUCGGAGGAAGGUGGGGAUGACGUCAAGUCAUCAUGCCCCUUAUGUCCAGGGCUUCACGCAUGCUACAAUGGCUGGUACAGAGAGUGGCGAGCCUGUGAGGGUGAGCGAAUCUCGGAAAGCCGGUCUCAGUUCGGAUUGGGGUCUGCAACUCGACCUCAUGAAGUCGGAGUCGCUAGUAAUCGCAGAUCAGCAACGCUGCGGUGAAUACGUUCCCGGGGCU